AGUGAAUAGAUACCCCGGUAGUCCACGCUGUAAACGUUGUGUACUAGGUGUUAGUGACUUGUUCACUAGUGCCGACGCUAAACGCAUUAAGUACACCGCCUGGGGAGUACGGCCGCAAGGCUUAAACUCAAAGAAAUUGAUGGGGGCCCGCACAAGCGGUGGAGCAUGUGGUUUAAAUUCGAUGAUACGCGAAAAACCUUACCUGGGCUUGAACUGUACAUGACAGGUGUAGAGAUACACCCUUCUUCGGACAUGUAUAGAGGUGCUGCAUGGCUGUCGUCAGCUCGUGUCGUGAGAUGUUGGGUUAAGUCCCGCAACGAGCGCAACCCUUACCCCUUGUUGCUAACAGGUAACGCUGGGCACUCUAGGGGAACUGCCGGUGAUAAACCGGAGGAAGGUGGGGAUGACGUCAAGUCAUCACGGCCCUUAUGUCCAGGGCUACACACGUGCUACAAUGGCCGGUACAAAGAGACGCAAUGCCGCGAGGUGGAGCAAAUCUCAAAAAACCCGGUCUCAGUUCGGAUUGUAGUCCGCAACUCGACU
rnacentral:rRNA from 1 species